ensembl:snoRNA LOC120095735 small nucleolar RNA SNORA44
AAGCUUUUCUUUAAGAAUGUUUAAAAACUGCAUGCCAGAGUAACGGAGAGACUUUGACAGCCCAGGUUAUCACAGUGCCUGCUGUUGCCACUCAGCUCUCCUAUAUGU